rnacentral:rRNA from 1 species
UAAGCCCUACGGGAGGCAGCAGUGAGGAAUAUUGGUCAAUGGACGCAAGUCUGAACCAGCCAAGUAGCGUGCAGGAUGUCGGCCCUCCGGGUUGUAAACUGCUUUUAGUUGGGAAUAAAAGGGGGCUCGUGAGCCCCGUAUUGUAUGUACCAUCAGAAAAAGGACCGGCUAAUUCCGUGCCAGCAGCCGCGGAAAUACGGAAGGUCCGGGCGUUAUCCGGAUUUAUUGGGUUUAAAGGGAGCGUAGGCCGGCUUUUACGUCAGCUGUGAAAGUCCGCGGCUCAACCGUGGAAUUGCAGUUGAAUA